rnacentral:rRNA from 1 species
AUGUCACUCCGCCGCCUCGUAGCCCGCUCCCUCUCCACGGCCGACCUCUCCGGCCGCCUCCGCCCCACCGCCGUCCUCUCCGGCCGCCUCCGCCGCUCCCUCUCCACCGCCGCCGCCGCCGCCGUCACGCACCCGCCAUGGGCAAUCAUCCACGACACGUCGGAGGUCGACCGGUCGUCGUCGGCCCCGGGCGCGUGCUUCCGCCCCGUGGCUCCUCCGGGCGUUUCCCACAUCUUCGCCCCAGCGCACCUCAUCGAUCCCACGCAACGCCCGAACGCGGGCAGCAGCGACGGCGUCCUCCAAUACCUUGGCGGCAAAGUCGUCCAGCUCCUCUUCGGCAACGUCGGCGCCGCCAGCGGCGACGGCCACCUCCUCCUCAGCUACCACGACCUCCGGGCGGAGGGCCCUUGCACCCGCUGGGACCUGGCCGAGAACCCCGAAGUCCACCGCUUCGUCUGCAACCCCCUCACCGGCCAGAUGCUCCGCCUGCCCGACUUCGGCGGCUCCAGGAGGAUCUUCGCCCUCCACAGCAUGGGUCUCCUCACCCAGGCCGACGGAGGGCUCGGGUGCGGGCCGCCCGACAGGUUCGCCGUCGCCGAGUUCGUCCUCAAUGGCGCCGCCAUCGUGCGGUUUCUCUCUGAGGAAGGGAAGUGGAACGCGGUACGGCCGGUCCAUGGCAAUCCAUCGCUCCCGCGCCCGAUAGAGAUGAACCAGGAGACGGUUGCCUUCGGCGGCCGCCUGUGGUGGGUCGACCUGACCUUGGGUGCCGUCUCCGUCGACCCCUUCGCCGACCAGCCAGAGAUCCGCUUCGUCGAGCUGCCGAGCGGCAGCGUGCUGCCUGCGCCGGCACGUGUGGACGAAGCAGACCCCUGCAAGGUCGAGGAACGGGGGCUGCUCAUUAUGGAGGUGACCAAUCGCCGGCGCAUCGGCGUGAGCGAGGGGAGGCUGCGCUACGCCGAAGUGACUCCCGGCGGGCCAUUUCUUCUCAGCUCCUAUGCGCUCGACGACGACGAGGGCACCGUUUGGAAGCUGGAGCACCAGGUGGCGCUCAGGCGGGUGUUGGCGGACGGAGGCUACUCGGCACAGGCGGCGCCGCAGAUCGCCGUCCUUGACCCCGUCGACGCCAACAUCAUUUACCUCAAGGUCGGCAAGGACGUCGUCGUCGUGGACAUGCAUAAUGGGAAUCUGAUUGGGGGCUGUCCGCUUCAAGGAGAGUACAUUUCUCUUGUACCAUGCGUUCUUCCACCCUGGCUUGGAUUAAGCCGGAUCCCCGCCGAAGGCAAGAAGGAUGGCAUGGAAGUGACAGAUGAUCUGGUCAGUAGCGCCUAG